GGCAAAGCAAGGCGGUUGGCCUGCGGCCGGGGCCAGCGUCCCCUCCGCCUCUCCGCCGACGCCUCUCGACGUGGCACUCAGCCGGGGCGUUCCCGGUCCCCGCAGGCCGAGGAUCUGGGCGCGUCCCGCACCCCCCUCCUAGCCCCAGGGCGUGGUCCAUCGGCCGGGCGUCCCGUCGGGCAAGGGCGCCUGUUGCGGCUGCCGCGCGCCGGCCAGGAAAUGGAAGAGCUCAUCUGUCUGGUUUACCACUGCAUUCCCAGCACCAAAUGCAAUGCAUGACACCGUCAUGGAAUUUGAGGACUUCUCCAAGAUAAAAUUGUGAAGAAGGGGAAGCAGGCCUUUGAGGUUCAGUCUCCCUGAUGAUCGUUCUGCUCUGUAGAUGUGUGGAGGAAAACCCCUUAUUUAAACGUUGGCAGCUGCUUAGCUCGCCCAAGUGGCCUAUAGCCACAGAGUGGGAAUAUUAUUGCUCCGGUUUUCAUCUCUGGCGCUAGAACAGCAAUAAUCGUGGCAACCAACAUUAUGGAGCGGCUCUUGUACUCCAGGCCCUGCGCAAAGGACUUCUACAGGUAUUAUCCCACCUAAUCCUCCCGGAAGCAGCGUGAAAUGGCACAAUUUUGAUCAUUUCUGCUUUACAGCAUAGGAUCUGAGACUUGGUUAAGGUCACACUGCAGGUAAGUGGCAUUGUUGAAAUCUGAAUCUGGGUUUAAAUUUUUAAUUAAAUUUUAACAUGGAACGAUUUCCACAUUAAGAGCUCUAUUUUCUCAUGGCAGCAUUCGAUUAGCAGCUUCACCCCUGAAAUUGGCCAUGUCCUCUUCACUUGACUGGAUUCUCUACCACUCCCUAAUGUCUUCCCAGCAUGGAGACCAGGGGCAGUUGUCAUUUCUCA